UGAGUGGCGGACGGGUGAGUAACGCGUGGGUAACCUCCCUUGUACAGGGGGACAACAGUUGGAAACGACUGCUAAUACCGCAUAAGCGCACAGCUUCGCAUGAAGCAGUGUGAAAAGUAUUUUCGGUACAAGAUGGACCCGCGUCUGAUUAGCUAGUUGGUGAGGUAACGGCCCCCAAGGCGACGAUCAGUAGCCGACCUGAGAGGGUGACCGGCCACAUUGGGACUGAGACACGGCCCAAACUCCUACGGGAGGCAGCAGUGGGGAAUAUUGCACAAUGGGCGAAAGCCUGAUGCAGCGACGCCGCGUGAGCGAAGAAGUAUUUCGGUAUGUAAAGCUCUAUCAGCAGGGAAGAUAAUGACGGUACCUGACUAAGAAGCACCGGCUAAAUACGUGCCAGCAGCCGCGGUAAUACGUAUGGUGCAAGCGUUAUCCGGAUUUACUGGGUGUAAAGGGAGCGUAGGCGGUUUUACAAGUCUGAUGUGAAAGCCCGGGGCUCAACUCCGGUAUUGCAUUGGAAACUGUAGAACUAGAGUGUCGGAGGGGUAAGUGGAAUUCCUAGUGUAGCGGUGAAAUGCGUAGAUAUCUAGGAGGAACACCAGUGGCGAAGGCGGC
rnacentral:rRNA from 1 species